UACACUCCUGCGGGAGGCAGCUGUGGGGAAUUUUGGACAAUGGGCGAAAGCCUGAUCCAGCAAUGCCGCGUGAGUGAAGAAGGCCUUCGGGUUGUAAAGCUCUUUUGUCAGGGAAGAAACGGUGAAAGCUAAUAUCUUUUGCUAAUGACGGUACCUGAAGAAUAAGCACCGGCUAACUACGUGCCAGCAGCCGCGGUAAUACGUAGGGUGCAAGCGUUAAUCGGAAUUACUGGGCGUAAAGCGUGCGCAGGCGGUUUUGUAAGUCUGAUGUGAAAUCCCCGGGCUCAACCUGGGAAUUGCAUUGGAGACUGCAAGGCUAGAAUCUGGCAGAGGGGGGUAGAAUUCCACGUGUAGCAGUGAAAUGCGUAGAUAUGUGGAGGAACACCGAUGGCGAAGGCAGCCCCCUGGGUCAAGAUUGACGCUCAUGCACGAAAGCGUGGGGAGCAAACAGGAUUAGAAACCCUUGUAGUCC
rnacentral:rRNA from 1 species